GCCCGCAUAGCUCAGUCGGUAGAGCAUCAGACUUUUAAUCUGAGGGUCGAGAGUUCAAGUCCCUCUGCGGGCU
rnacentral:tRNA from 1 species